AGCAACACUUCCGGGACCAUUUUUUACAGAGACUGAAGAGGAAGCGAGACACUAUUUUUUUAUUCCGUUUAAAUUAACGUAAGUAUACAAGACCCCUCUGCUAUUGCAUUGGCGUCUACGGGAGACACCCUGUUAAACCGGAACUCACCGCUUUUUUUCAAUGGUAAACAGCCGAAGUGAGCUAUCUUCGUUUAUGCACCAUCUUUGAUUUUUAUAUCAGUGGAGGCGAACUGAAGAGGGCUCUGGGAUGCUAACUGAAAACACCAAUUGUCGUCGCUUCCUCGUUUCUGGCGUAAUCGCUACACGGAAAAUAAAUGACUAAAUGCACCCAGGACCACAUUGAAAGAUACCUGUGAAAGCUCUCGCUCCCCCACCCCAAUGUCGAGGUCGCAGUGACGGGGCUGGGCAGAGGCAGAGCCCGGUGCCCCGGCCCCUUUGCCCAGCUGAGGAGCAGCCCCUGACAGGGAGCGCACCAUCUCCCUGUGCCUCGUGUCCUCUGGGGGGCAUUUUGAGCCAUGGAGCACCCACGGGAAAAAGAGGGUGAGCGACCGGCGCGCAGCAGCAAGGCGGGUCAGGGGCGCAGCGGGCACUCGCGCCCCUCUGGAUCAGGCUCCUCCGGAGUGCUCAUGGUUGGGCCCAACUUCCGUGUGGGCAAGAAGAUUGGCUGUGGUAACUUUGGAGAGCUGAAGCUAGGUAAAAACCUCUACACCAAUGAGUAUGUUGCAAUAAAAUUGGAACCAAUAAAGUCAAGGGCACCACAGCUGCAUUUGGAGUACCGUUUUUACAAAACAUUAGGCAGCACAGCGGAGGGUCUUCCUCAGGUCUUCUACUUUGGGCCGUGUGGGAAAUACAAUGCCAUGGUGUUAGAACUGCUGGGCCCUAGUCUAGAAGACCUCUUUGACCUCUGUGACAGGACCUUCUCUCUCAAGACAGUCUUAAUGAUGGCUAUUCAGCUGCUCUCACGGAUGGAGUACGUCCACUCCAAGAACCUCAUCUACCGAGACGUGAAGCCCGAGAACUUCCUCAUCGGGCGGCAGGGGCACAAGCAGGAGCACAUCAUCCACAUCAUCGACUUUGGCCUGGCUAAAGAGUACAUCGAUCCCGAGACCAAAAAACACAUUCCUUACAGGGAGCACAAGAGUCUCACAGGAACCGCCCGCUACAUGUCUAUCAACACCCACUUGGGAAAAGAGCAAAGUCGACGGGAUGACCUGGAAGCCUUGGGCCACAUGUUCAUGUAUUUCCUACGAGGGAGUCUGCCGUGGCAAGGACUCAAGGCUGACACCCUGAAGGAGCGAUACCAGAAGAUUGGUGACACCAAGCGCAACACUCCCAUCGAGGUCCUCUGUGAAAGCUUUCCAGAGAUGGCCACGUACCUGCGCUACGUGCGGCGGUUGGACUUCUUCGAGAAGCCCGACUACGAGUAUUUGAGGACUCUGUUCACCGAGCUGCUUGAGCGCAAAGGAUACAUUUUUGACUACACCUACGACUGGGAUGGCAGAGCGAUUCCUACUCCAGUGGGGUCUGUCAACGUGGACUCGGGUGCGUCUGCCAUCACGAGAGAGAGCCACGCUAACAGAGACAGGCCCUCUCAGCAACAACCCCUACGGAACCAGAUGGCAGCAUCAGACCGCAGAGGAGCAUGGGAUGCACAGCCCCACCGACAGACAAAUUCCUCCUACCUGAGCAGCUCCCACCUGGCUGCAGACAGGCAUGGGGGCUCUGUGCAGGUGGUAACCUCCACCAAUGGGGACCUGAAUGCAGACGACCCAAUGACGGCCCAUUCCAACGCACCUAUCACAGCGCAGGCCGAGGUGGAGGUGGUGGAAGAGGCCAAGUAUGUAUCUGGCACUUCGUCUUCUGUCGUAGCUAGCUGUCUCUCUGUCGUAGCUAGCUGUCUCUCUCGCUCUGUCAUAGCUAGCUCUCUCUCUCUCUCUCUCUCUCUGUCGUAGCUAGCUGUCUCUCUCUCUCUCUCUGUCGUAGCUAGCUCUCUCUCUCUCUCUCUCUGUCGUAGCUAGCUCUCUCUCUCUCUCUCUCUCUGUCGUAGCUAGCUCUCUCUCUCUCUCUCUCUGUCGUAGCUAGCUCUCUCUCUCUCUCUCUCUGUCGUAGCUAGCUCUCUAUCUCUCUCUCUGUCGUAGCUAGCUCUCUAUCUCUCUCUCUGUCGUAGCUAGCUCUCUAUCUCUCUCUCUGUCUUAGCUAGCUCUCUAUCUCUCUCUCUGUCGUCUAGCUCUCUCUCUCUGUCGUAGCUAGCUCUCUCUCUCUCUCUCUGUCGUAGCUAGCUCUCUCUCUCUCUCUCUGUCGUAGCUAGCUCUCUCUCUCUCUCUGUCGUAGCUAGCUCUCUCUCGCUCUCGCUCUCCAUCUCUCGCUUGGUCAUCUGUCUCUUUCAGUAGCACUUUGUUAUUAUUUGUAUUGGAAGACAAUUUACAAUAGCAAGUGGUCAUUGGAGUAAUUUCUUUACUAUGACUUUUGCUCAAUCCAUGAGAUUGAUUGAUUGUCCAAUCCCAACCCGUUUGAAGCUCAGUCAGAGGAUUGGAUCCAAGAAGUCAAACUGCUUGAGCCAGGAUCAAGUCCAAACAAGUUGUUUCUUGUGGAUGGAACCUGUUUGGACCGGAUGAUAAACUGAUCUGCAACAAAUCCAAAUUUGAUUCUGUUAGUUUCAAUUACAAUAUGAGGGGAAAAGUUAUGAAGAUUAUCUGAAUUAUUUUAUUAAAAUGUUCUGAAAAUAUACCAACUAGCUAAAACAAAAACUUUCAAAAUAAAAAGUCAUCCUUGUUUAGUAAGAAUCUGUUCUACCUGUUCAAUCAUCAUUUCAAAAUAGUGAAUAAGUACCAUAUACCCAACUUCACAUUCAAUGUCAUCUAGUAGAUUUACAGAUCCUUUCCUCCAUUGCCCAGACACAGUUUUGUCUGUUACCCGUGUGUAUGUAUGUGCAUGCAGUUCUACAUUUCAGAAGGACUAUCUUGAGUUGUUGUCCCUCUCUUUCUCUCUCUGUACAGUAUUAAUAUGUAUUUUCUCCUCACACUCUGUAGCUGCGUGAAAAUGCUCAACCUGUGGUGAGUCUCCGCUCCCAUGCACAUCAGCCAUUCAAAAGGGAGUGGACCAGACUUGCACCAGACAACAUAUCCAGCACUGUGUUGGUUUCUUGGCUUCACCCCUUCCAUUAAACAAAUUACUGUGUUACUUUCCUAUUGGGUUUUAGGCCUCUCACAUGAUGUGAUUUAAUAUUCUUUUCACACUACUGAGAGGAGCUGAAGGAUGGUUAUGUAGCUCAAAUGUAAAGCUUUUGAGAGUUUGUUGAGUGAACUGGAAAGACGAAUGCCUGGGCCACACAAAGAUUUUGUUUUCUGUCAAGAACGGAUUUGCGAAUGGCGUUCUUACAGGGCACGCAAAGUAUUAGAACGUUGGUUCUACAGUUAUUAAGCAGCGUCCUUGUACAAUCUAAUUGCAGAACUUGACAAAUAUUUUUGGGCCAGCUGGGUAGCAUACAGAGUCUGGGUGUAUUCCCUCCCCAUUGAAUGUUUGCUUUCUUCUUCACCGUCACACUCUCACACUCAUUCUUAUACCUGUUAAAUGUUCAACGUCCAUUCUUUAUUACCUCUAACCCGUACGUGUCACUGUUGGGUUUGUUUACAAGCUGACAUUUUGAAUAUUUUAAGUUGUGAGUUGAGUGCAACAUGAGUCUUAAGGGAUAAUAGUGAGAGAUACACACGGAGUAUACCAAACAUUGAGGACACCUGUUCUUUCCAUGACCGACUGACCAGGUGAAUCCAGGUGAAAGCUAUGGUAGUCACUUGCUAAAUCCACUUCUAUCAGUGUAGAUGAUUGGGAGGAGACAAGUUAAAGAAUGAUUUUUAAUCCUUGAGACAAUUGAUACAUGGAUUGUGUGUGUGUGUGUGUGUGAAUGGGCAAGACAAAACAUUUACACUAAGUGCCUUUGAACGGUGUAUGGUAGAAGGUGCCAGGCGCACUGGUUUUUGUCAAGAACUGCAACGCUGCUGGGCUUUUCAUGCUCAACAGUUUCCCGUUUGUAUCAAGAAUGGUCCACCACCCAAAGGACAUCCAGCCAACUUGACACAACUGUGGGAAACAUUAGUGUCAACAUGGGCCAGAUUCACAGUGGAAUGCUUUUGAUACCUUGUAGUCCGUGCCCUGACGAAUUGAGGAUGUUCUGAGGGCACAGCCUCAAUUCUUUAGGUGUUCCUACUGUUUGGUAUAUUCAGUGUAGAUUGCCAAGUAACUGUCCUUCCUUUUCUCCCUCUUCUCAUUCCUUUCCUCUCAGGUGCUGUUGCUUCUUCAAGCGAAAACGGAAGAAGAACACUCCACGGCAGAAAUGAGCUCCUGCUACUCUGUCCGAUGUCACUGAGCGGGUUUGGUUUUAAGGAAACUAAUUAAGGGGCAUUUCCAGUUGUAGUUGGGAGAGAGACUUUUUAUUACGAGAGAUAUGCGAUUCUUAAUGACCCGGACCUACUGAAUGACCUUCGCCACAGAGACCUUUCUUUGAUAAUUUGACCACUGACACUCCCUCUGGAUACCGGAGAACAUCUCUUAAUCUUCCUCAGUUUUUUUUCUUCCCUUUUGCUCAAGUGGAGAUCAAAGUCAAAUAUCCCUCCCUCUCUUUGAGGGAGUGAGGAGACCAGUCUUGCAGUCUAUAGACCCCAUAUUUUUUCUGUCUCACGUCUCUCUCUUGCGCUCUCUCUCCCCAUUCACCAAACACUCACACAUCCCCAGUAAAAGCAGGUCUUAAGCUGUCCCUAAUUGUUUGCUUUUUGUUCAUGCAUAUUUAUGUCUGUACAUAUGUGUGGAUGUAUGAAUGUGUCCUAAUGGUUAAUUGAUUCAUAUGCCACCCAGCCCCUCCCACUUAGCCCUGUUUGACUGUCUUGGAAGUAUAGGAGACAUUAGGGCAAUUUCACAUCUGGACAGCCUGAAAAUAUUUUGGGAGUAUCAAAUUGUUCUUGCAAUUCUCACAUAGAAAGUUCAUUGGAAGGAAGAAUGUUUGACAUGCUUUUUACAUUUGUAUCACAUUUAUUUUCUAUCAUAAUGAAAGUGGUUUUCUGGUACUUUGGAAGAUACAGUAUGACCCAUUUUAUACAUAGAUGUUGACAUUCUAGGUCAUUAACCAAUCACAUCCCUCCUUUAGAAUGGCACAUUUAGCAAUUCACCAGCAGAGGGAGUUCCCUUUUUGAAUCCAUUUUCCCAUUCACUGUGUUGGUGAUGCUUAUAAAAGCCUACUCUGGAAAUGUGAUGUACUUGUAGAGUAUAUAUAUUGUUUCAAACAAUGUCCUAAAAUGAGCAAAUCUAAAAUUGUAUUUCAGAAUGUAGACAUAGUCCAUAUGUUAGAGCACACUAUAAGGAGUAUAAUGACACCAAGAUGUUCUGUGUCAUGUAUGGUGCAUGGAUCAUAAGAUCUUACAGGAGGCAUGUAUAGGUCUAAAAAGGGCCUAAAAUUGCUACUUACAUCAUGAUUAUCUAAAAACAAAAAAAAAUUAAGCAUGUCAAACAUCCUUCCUUCAAAUGAAGUUUCUAAAUGAGAAUUUCCAUAGCAAUCCAAGUGUCCCAAAAAUAUUUUAGGGCUGUCCUGGCACAGAAUGGCCCAUUUAUAAAUAAUACUACAAAGUCCUAAAGUAACCUCUUGCUCCAAGCCGAGACACCGCUUCAUGUCCCCUCAUAGAUCUGCAAAGACGUGACCGGUGUAAGCAGUAUGUUAAUAGUUCCACUUUUGCUUCUGGUUGGCUAGGUGAAGUUUCCACCACAUUGCUCAACACACAUCCAGUUCUUUCACAUCUAUAAGGGUUUAUUUGGGAUUGGGCAUAAGUAGUCAAAGCAGAAAGAAAAGGUAGAAAAGGAGGGAACAGCGAAAGACCAGCACGUUCCUAAAGCAUCGCUGCCAGGGAAAUAAACCUGCUUGUACUAUUCACCUCACAAGUCACUUACUACAUUUGCCUGGUACCUCCAUAUUUGUAUUAAAAACUACUGAAAGUGCUAAUUAAAAGGAUAAGCAAGAAAAAUGUAAGACAGCAGUUGGUGAGUGACCAAAGGGAUGUGUGUGGACAGAGGACCAGUUGUUACCAGAUUGGGAUUUAUUUCUGAAAAUGAUUUGAAUUCUAGAUCCCUGUGUUUGAUGCACUGUUCAUUAUAGCAAAUGCACAUCAUUGCUUGUAACCACUCACUCCUUUUCAACUUCAGGCCUUGGUCUAUUGUACAUUUUUGGGGGAGACAAUCUAUCGACAAUAGAUCAGUUACGAGUUGCAUUUUGCAUUGCUUUAGUUAACAUUGCACGUACCCCUAAACUGGUCCCUGUUAUCCACAAACACUUAGAUUUCUCUGUGUGGAUGAAGGAAAAGUUGCUUCCAAAUGCUGAUCUAAGGUCAGUUUAGCUUUUUUUACCUCCUAAUAUUUAAGGCUAGGAUUGGGAUAGAAUGAACUGAUCCCAGAUGUGUACUUCGGGGCAGCUUCUACCGCCAGUCUGUCUGUAUACAGAAUCUUGGAUAAGGAGAACAGACUUAGCUCUCCCAUUGAUUUAGAUGCUACUGCUCCCUCUUCUGGCCUUAACAUGGAAUGCCUUAAUCAGAUCACCUCUCAUUAGAGCCUAUCAGGAUAGGUGUCUGGUCACUGCAACAACAUACCAGCCAAUAAGAAGACAUGCAUGUUGACGCGUCUGAUUCCAAAAGAGCGGCCGUUCUCAACUCCAAUCCUGGGGUACCAUCUGGUGUUGCACAUUUAUGUUCUAGCCCUGCCCUAACACACCUGAGUCAACUAAGUUAAAGCUUCAAUGCAGCCUUUUUUACAUUUAUUUUUAUCUCCAUAUCAAAUUAGUUCUGGGUAACAAUUAAGUACCUUACUGGCAUUGUUUUAAAUUUAAAAUGGUCAAAAUGAAAGACUCUUAACAAAGAGCAAUUUCUCAAGCUAUUUUUUUGCUCGGACUGUCAGUGAUCUGAGUGGGGAGGGGAAAACUGUAAACGAGCUGUUAUUGGCAGAGUGGUGAAUUUCACAGUAUUGUUCCAACCUCAUAGUGUGGAAAUGUAUAUAAAACACAGAAGAAUCAUAUUUUUGACUGCACUGGGCCUUUAAGUAUUUGAAUCAUGUCUGUUAGUGCUGGGCCUUAACAAAAAAAGCUGCAGUGCUGCGGUGUGGACCUUCAAGACCUAGACUUAAAGCCCCCCAUGCAGUCUUUACUAUUUAAUUUUAAAUCCUCACUGUGUCUAAUAAAUCACUGUUUUAUUUCAUGAAAAUAACAAAUAUAUUUUUGAUCAUUUAAUACCCUGAGCCUUCUUUGGCCCUUGAAAUGCUGUCUGACCAUGUGGGCGUUAGGAAAUACGUUUGAAGAUACACAGCCAUAAUUCCGUUUACAAUAACCCGAAAAAUAUUGAGUCCCGGUUAUGUGAAACCAGGAUAAGAUACCUGAGAUAUGCUGAUCUUAGACGGGAUACUGUGGCAUGUAAACAUCUCAUCACUGUUUACUGUUGUUUUUUUGCAGUCUGCACAGGCUCAGUUGCGCAUAUCAUUGGUGUUGUGAUGUUUUCAUCAGUCAAACAAAUCACUCCAAAGAGAAGGCGAUCUGCGCUGUUCGAUCCAUCAUAAUUCCAUAAUAAUUGAUUUUGCUGAUACUCUGUACUGGACUGUAUAGCAUGCUAGCUACUUUCACCCCUAAUUUAGACACUUCUGUUUAUAAUUUCCGACAUUUGGUAGGUCGAAUCAUUUCGGACAUUUGGUAGGCCAUUUCUUUGUCAACUAUAGUUAGAUACAUGCAUAUUUUCUUCUGUCAUAACUUGUUGCCAUAGAAGACUAAAUAAAGUAGUGCUCACCAGAAUGUCUUACAUCGAUAGAAUGAAUGCAUUACACAGGAGGUUGGUGUCACCUUAAUUGGGGAGGAUGGGCUCGUGGUCAUGACUGGAACGGUAUAAGUGUCAAACACAUGGUUUGAUGCAAUUCCAUUCGCUCCGUUUCAGCCAUUAUUAUGGGCCGUCCUCCCCUCAGCAGCUUUGACUGCUGCAUUCGUAACCUAGUUAACACCAGUAAAAUGGUCUGUUUCGUUUAGGGACCGGGAGAAAACGCAAUAACUCCAAAACAGUGGAAUGAUUGGUCCUGGGCAAAAUGACCAAUGUCAUCAGUUUGAUCGGUUUAAAGGUAAUGAAAAGCAGAGAACUAUGAAACAUUUCUGUUAAGACUUAAGUUCUUCUUGGGUGAAUAUUUUAUGUGCUUGAAAUACUGUCUUCUUGCAUAACGGUGUCAAAGAUAACACAUUACAAUCGCCAAAGCAUUUUCUCAAGAGAUGCUGACAGAAAGAAAUCAUAUUUCUCCACUCCUGUUCCCGAGACAAAAUUAUAAUUUGUUGUAUCAUAGUACUGCAAGAAAUCCAUAAUUCUGCAGGAGUUAAUAUUAUAUUAUGCUACAUGUGAGAGGUUAUAGGCCUACAGUAAGUGUCAAUGUUUCAGUUACUUUUCCAUUUAACCCAUAACUAUAAUGACUAAUAUUCUGUUUAUACUCAUGAACGGGAUAUCGAAGGUGCAUGUAAACAGCAUAUCCCAAAUAAGAAUUUAAGCGGAAUAUGAGCUACUGUCCGGAAUAAUGUGCGCAUGUAAACGUGGUCACUAUUUAGCCUGUGGAAAUGGUCGCAUUUUGUGAGAUGAUACUGUGGUGUGUCUCACUUUAAAUCAAUAUUAGCGCAGACAUGUUUGAGAAAGCAGAAUUUGAAUAUUUAAAAUAUAGGAACCUCCUUUGUGUCCUAUGUAAUGUCAUCGGAGUGAAAGUGAAUGGCCUCUGCAGUCAAAACAUUUGAGGUUGUGAAAUGCUGAACUUGAGAAUGAUAUUCAACCCACCCCAGUGUUGACUCCUGAAUGGUUAUCUUGUCUGUUUCGAUAUAUUGUUUUGUUGUUAAUGUGAACAAAAAUGUAUGAUGUACUGUAAUUUUACUAAAUGUAAUCAUUGAAUGACCUUGCUUUUUGGUGGGGGAAGGUAUUUAAACAGUGAUUGAGUGCACUACUUCUACACCUACUGUUGUCUGUAGUUAGGAUGCCGGUCUCGUUCUCUAUCAUCUCGAUCAGGUGUGUCAAACUCAUUCCAUAGAAGGACUAGUGUCUGCUGGUUAUUUUUUUUAUUUCAAUUAAGUCCUAGGCAACCAGAUGAGGGGAGUUCCUUAUUAAUUAGUGACCUUAAUUCAUCACUCAAGUACAGAGAGGAGCAAAAACCCGCAGACGCUUGGCCCUCCGUGGGAUGAGUUUGACACGUGAUCUAGGUACUAUCCACGUUCAUUUGUGUGUUAUGGAAAUGGUGGAAAGAACUCGUGGCCUUGAGGCAAGGCUGGGGGAAUUGUCAAUUUCCUUAUAUGCUUCUAUUGAAUAACUCCCUUGUACACAGACACACAGGCGUGAAACCCAAGCACAGUGUUCAUUAUUUUUACUUUUUUGGCGGGAUCCCAAGUUAACACUGACUAAUGCCCCCUGGUGUGCAGGAGGACUUUUGUCUUUCCUAUGAUGACACAUUUAUCUUUGGCAUGUCCACUCCCUAGCUGCCUUUUAUGGAUGGACAAACAAAUGUUCUGUAUAUUUUUGAGUAACAAAGAGUUUUUGUGUGCUGUGUGUGGAUUUAAGUUAUUUCAAAUGUACUUGAAUGGAAAGAUGUGGGACGAGUCUUAGUGGAAUGUCAGGAUUUACUCAGAUGCCAUUGUCGGACUAAAUUAUGUGCGUAUGAGCAAUGUUCUUUAUGCAUGGAUUGGUCAAUUGAUUGAUUGAUUUACCCACAUGUCAUUGAGGCUUUUAGACAUCAAUGCUGACCACAGCAGGCUAAUUGUGUAGUGGGUAAAAGUUCAGGCUUUAGGCUGUUGUCAUGUAUCUCUCGCUCUUUCUCCCUUUUGCUCUCAUUCAACUCUUUGUUGAGGACUUCCUCCCUUCCUUGAAGUAAUUACUGAUCUAACCAGAGGAGGAUGGGAUUCUAUAGGAGGAUGGGCUCAUUGUUAAUGGCUGGAAUGGAAUAUAUGGAACAGCAUCAAGCAUAUGGAGACAGCAUGUUUGACUCCGUUCCAUGUAUUCCAUUCCAGCCAUUAACAAUGAGCCUGUCCUCCUCUGGUUAGAUCAGUAAUGAUUUGACAGGUGAAAGUGAUGACUUUUCCCUCAUGGCUUUCACCUGUCCAGUCAUAUCUAAUUAGUGAUUACUUAAAUGACAGGGAGAAAGGACAGUGUUUGUACCAGGACUUUUGACUUGCUAUGAGGCUGGUGCAGCACGGAGGUGCUGACCCUAGGGUUUCUUGAAAGGACAGAGGACUUCCACUGACUUCCACAUGCCCCUGGUGGCAGUAUAUAUUUCUAUAUUUGCCCAUACAGCUGUCUGAUCCCACUGUGGGUCAUUUUGAAGCCUUACAUUCCCAUUGCUCCAUGACAUGUUAACAUAACCCCCUCCAAUGGCAGGGUUUGUUUGAGAUGUCACUCACUGUAUUGGGAUAAUCUAUGGAUAGAUGUAUACCUCAGAGAAAAGCCAUUUCUGACUCUCACCACACACAUGCACAUUCUCAUUCCCUUUCUCCUUUUUGCUCUCUCACUCAGUCUUUGCUCCCCAGUGCCAGCUUGUUGACCUCUGGUGCCAAGGGCGCUGAAAUGUUAGCGUGUUGUAGACAUGAGCCCUAUUCUCUGCUCUUAAGAUGGUGUCAUUUUAGACCCAUUCAGUGGGUUAGCUGGAUCAUUGCAAGUGAUUUUGAAAAGCCAUUCAAAAUAAAAAUAAUUUGCCAUGUUAUGCUUGUGUGACAACCAUACCAUCUCAGAAUUUGUGUAGUGAAAUAUUAUUUUGCUUUGGCGCAUUUAGGUGACAUGAUACAGAUGAUUUGCUUCUUUCAUUAAGUAUUCUAGGCCUGCUUGUUUUGCAUGAUCCCAACCACCAAAGUUAUUGUUUUGUCAUCCCUGUUUUCUUAUUAUUGUUCAUGUUUAUUAAGGAAACCACUUUAUCAAUUUAUGUUUUGCCAACUUUUGUGUAACAUGUACAUAUGAGAAGUCCUCUCUAAAUGAUUUAGUUGCUGUAGAGGGGUCAUGGCUUUUUAACCUCCAUCAGCAACCAGAAGAUGACACUGAGUCAGAUGGCUUUGGCUGGUUGAAUCCUCAUGCCUUCUGCAUACUGCAUAAAGGGGUAGAUUUAAUUCUGAGGUCUUUUCAUUGGUUUUAAGCACAAAGUUAUUGUAUUGGUAUACUUUGUGUGCUUUUAAAUAAUACUGUCAUGCUUAAAUGAGCAAGGCCCACCAGGGCCUUAAUGACCAUUUUUCAUUAUUACUGUCAUUCCAGAUCAUCUCUGCACUUUCUCAGUGUUUGAGGGACCAUUUAUCAACAGUUGCUUGCAUUUGUCUACAGAACUGUGUAGGGUGCAAGCUGCAAAUACUGCUCAAGUGAAGACUUCCUGACAUUACCUUCAGUUGCUUAUAUACUGUAGACCUCCAGUGGUUAGAGACAAGACUGCAAUAUUGUACUGAUUAUUUUUAAUCGUAAAUUAUGUGAAGUUUAUUUUGUUUUUAUGUUCAAAUUGGAGUCUUUUUUUUCAGCCUGGUUUUCUUUUCACCCUCUUCAAAGCUGUGGAACGCAAACUUGUACAGUGCUAUGAGAGCUUAUGUCUCGUGUUCUCUGGUAAUGGUUUCAAAGCUAUGAAUAUAAGAAUCAAGUCUUAAAAUUGUAUUGUGAAUAUUGUGUUGAAACAUGAAUGUUACUUCAAAAUGUAUUUGAACGCUUUAACCAACCUAGUUAAGGGCUCCUAUCCUGAAAAACCCCUCGUUUUUGUUCAGGUUUUUGAAUUCCUUUUUUGGGGGGUGGGGGGUUGGACUGUCAUAUUAUGCCUACUUCCCAGAGGCCUCAAGUGAAACAUGUCAUGGGACCUUUCCAAAAUGUCACUACACUACUUCAAAAUAACUCAACUCAAGUUUGCACCCAUUUUUUUAUGUAAAAUAAAAAUCUCUCUUAACCUUUA